AUCGAUGUCAAGAACACGACUCAGGAAGACCUGGAGAAGGAGAUGCAGGAAAUGGUUUGCAAGAAAUACGAUGCGACUUCUGUGGAGCUCAAGGAUAUUUGGAACUUCCGAGCACGGCUUGUGCAAGGGGAAAGAAUCAACCUGUAGAAGGCCCUGUGAAGAACAGGAUGGAAAACAUGGGCCUGAGAAUGAGGUUCUCUGAGGGAUGAACACUGACCCUGCCUGAGCAGGCAGAAUUCCCUUUGUUGAUCUCUGUAAUGGUAACUUAGCCAAAUGCUGCAAAAUUGUUUUAUGCUAAUUCAGAAUAAUUGCACUGAGCUUGGACUGCUGAUGUAUGUCAAAGGAAAACUAAGCUAGAAAAACAGAUUUGUGGCAGGUGUCUUAAACAAUAGAAGAAUCAAAGUCUUGAAAGAACA